rnacentral:lncRNA from 1 species
UCGCGGGGCAAAGUGCGCCAGCGACCCGAGGUAUACCUCGUUCUCUUCCUGGUCUGGAUCCGUCCGUCUACUUCAGUUUCGUACUGAGUAGAUCCACUGCUUAAGCGUGAGCUGUUGGUGAUCCGCCGUAGGUUUUACUAUCUCCUCCUUCCGUUCCAGUAGAUCCGCUUGAGCUAGGCUGUUGGACUAGGAUCAUGGGUGCGUGCAUCUCAAGCCCGAACUGCUGGGCAUCCACCGUAGUAGAAUCGCGCCUUCACUUGGAAAUAUGAUUAAAUGGUAGGGGGUCGACCGAAUCAUGAGUAGAUCUAUUUUCUUCAACAAGUAAAUCAUGCGUGCCAAGUACUUUUUUUCAUUGCCGGCUCGUGUGUGCAUCUUAGUUCUUCAGUGCAGAUUGCUGGCCAUCCAUGGUAGAUUUAUAGUGUGCUAAUCUGAUGGUGCAAGCUGCUCGAGGAAACCAAAAGUUCUCUAUGCCUUGCUCUACUACUUUUAGGUUGCUCUGGGUUUCUUCUAUGAAGAGAUGUGCACCAGUGAUAAUAGUGUGAGAUUGUUAUUUUCCCGUUACUUCUUUUGUGAUGGUUGGUGUGUGUGCGAUCUUAAGUGCAGACCGCUUGUCAUUCACUGUUAUUUUUUAUGUGUACAUUUAGAGUGUCUGAGUUUCUUUUAGGUAAUGCUCAUUUCUUUCCUAGAUGAGAUAACUAGCUCAUGAUUCAGUACUGUAUUUCUCUUCAUGAAGAUAUAUUGUACUCCUGCAGGUUUGCUUGCCUGCUGACCUUACAAAUAUUUUCUUUUCAGUAGGUGCCUUGGUAUAGAAUGAAGUGAAGAGAGCAGAGUAUCUUGGUCGUACUAAUCAAUUCAUCAUAUUAUGUGCGCAAUAAGAUUUUGCUAUGCUUUCACCGUUGAUGCCCACUGGUUGGAUCAUGCUUCUGUUUAUGAGCUCAUUGAAGUAACUCUCUCGUAGCUCAAAUGGGCCAAUUUCUCGUUUGUGUGGCACACAAAACCUUCAGCUAUCCAUCUCCAUAUCAGUUGGUCUCUCUUAAUUUUGUUAUCUUCUGGAAAUAUGCUUACGUAUAAUAAAUGAUGCGAAGGUAGAUCAUAGAAACAUGAACACAAUUCUUAAUCUAAAGCAAGAUGGUGUAGGCUACUUUUUGUGAUUCAACACAAAUAGCAGGCAUACAUGCACCAAUACUAAGAAAAUUAGCAAAGAAAAUGAGUAAAAGAGGCACUUGACUUGUAGAUUAUAAAAGAGUGAUGAUCUAGAAGUCAACCCUCUUUUACCAGUAGUUUUGAUCUACCUUCUCAUCCAUAGGAUUAGUUAUUAUGUCUAAGCAUGUUUUUAGAAGAUUAGAAUAUUAAGCAAGCUCAUUCGAUAUGUAAGGUGGAUAGUUUGAGGUUUUGUUUAUCAUGAAAAACAAGGGAUUAGCAAGUUUGAGCUCGGUGGUAGAAUUGCUUAGUGAGAUCGUGAAUAGGAGCAUGAUUCAACCAAUUGACAUCAAUGUUGAUAAAGGCAUGGAAAAAUCUUAUUGUAUACAUGAUAUGGUGAUUGAUUUCAUAUGCUGAAGAACCCUUGCAUGGCACUGAGUGAAAGCCUUCUAUCCAAAGGCGGCAAGAUGUGAAGAUUAUCCAUCCGAAAGAGCAUGACAGGUAGCAGCUAUGUCACAAUGAGGUCUGUUGCAAUUGUUGAUUGGGUGUAGCUUGUUGAGUGCUCCAAGUUCUACAUGCCCUGGAUUUAGAAUAUUGUGCUGCAUGUCUCCAUUCUUGGCAGUCACAAUGAUUCAAGAAUACUGUGUUUGCAAUGACAUGAAGCUCCUAUUGUAUUUCUACCAACUAGUGCUGAAUUAGUCACGAGUCUCUUGGUGUAUUUGUACCCACUGAUGCUGAAUUAUAGUUCGAGUCAAGAACUGUCAAAGUUCUGUGUCGGCUCCUGCCGUUAGCUCAUGAGGAACUUGUUUACCCUAUUCCUUUAUUUUGAUGCUGGCUUGUUAUACAUUGUGUCUCUUUUCUUUAUAGCAGUAGCAGCUUUUGAAGUCUUCUUGCUCUGCUCUUUGUAUGAAAUGUAAGGUAAUUGUUCUGAAAUGAUAUGUAUAUGUUACUUUUGUAGGUAAAAUUACAUGUACAGUACCAACGUCUUCAACUGUUAUUUUCUUUCUGACUGCCAUCAGUGGCAGGAUCACAAGUGAGGCCGUGCAAUGUCCGUGCUUAUCUACUUGUUAAGCCGUUUGAGGAUAUUGGUCCUGCAUGCUUUCCAUUUUUGCUAAGUAGUUUUUGCUAAUCGAGGCGGCAUGAGAGGCUGAGGCUCUAGAGCACUGCAUUUGCCUUGUUUUGAUUUGUAUUUCUUCUGUAGUAGGGGCAUUAAGUUCUAAUUGAGAUUGUAUUGCAGUCA